rnacentral:rRNA from 1 species
UACAGAGGUCUCAAGCGUUGUUCGGAUUCAUUGGGCGUAAAGGGCGCGUAGGCGGCGGGGUAAGUCGGGUGUGAAAUCUCAGAGCUCAACUCUGAAAUGGCACUUGAUACUGCUCUGCUAGAGGACUGGAGAGGAGAUUGGAAUUCACGGUGUAGCAGUGAAAUGCGUAGAUAUCGUGAGGAAGACCGGUGGCGAAGGCGGAUCUCUGGGCCAUUACUGACGCUGAGGAGCGAAAGCGUGGGGAGCGAACAGG